UCGAAACAGGAUCGACGAACGUCUAAAGAUGUAGCUUUAUCUCGGCUGACUGCCACCGUUAUCGGCGUAAAAUGUACAAUUGCAAAUGACAAUCGUGCUCCAAUGGCGAUGGCCGCGUAAGCGACCGGAACUAUUGAAACUUAAGCCCUUGCGUUUAGCGACGUAAGGCGGGGUUCGCAGGUACCUGGCAACAGAAACCUGCACU
rnacentral:tmRNA from 1 species